UUUUAUUCAAUCGAGGCACGUGUUUGCACCAUCGACUUUGUGUACAUGCGCUACGUCAUCGAUGUAAUAAAAUUGUAAGGGAUUAAUAUUUACACUUGCCGAUGUUUGUAAACGUCAAUUUGGGCCAAUUAGGAUUUAUACUUUAUGACAAUAGCGGUUUAAAUGAUGUGCACUGAUGACAAAUGAACUUAAUUGGGUGUGAUUACUGCGAAGUUAGCGAGAAGGGCAAGUGCGAAUCACAGUUCCAGUUGGUACAAACAAGAUGCAGAUAAAAAAUGGCACUGCGAAGUUUGUAGAUGUGCUAAGUUGGACAACGCCUAAGCCCUUGGACAUGACCAACCAGCAAAAACAACCAAUCAUCAGAGACAUGGCUUGUGCAACAAAUCAGCACAAGGCCGCCUUGGAGAGACAGUUCUGCGUUCCCAGGAACCCAUGAGGAAAAUCGUACUGGCCAAACUGUCCAAGGAUGACAAGCUUGACCCCAAGCUCCUUAAGAAUGCCUACCACCUGGCUAAGCGGGAGCUCCCCAAGGAGGAAUUUCAGUACCACCUCCAGCUUGCCAGGGCCAUAGGUGCUGAUCUUGGCCAUCUCAUGAAUGGGCCCUCACCCUCUUAGACAUCAAACAAGAGUGUAACUGAGUUACAAGAUGCCAUCAUGUAUCAUGUAUUUAAAUUCUGAUAUAUAUGUAUGUGUGCAUGAUAGGUUAACCGUUUGCAUGUAAUAAAAUGUUUGAAACUUGACUUCUUUUUAAAGGUAUAUACAACAAAUUAAUUCUAACUAAAAACAACCAGUAUGACUAUUUUAAAAACAAUUUAAACACCUAUUUAAAUGCAUAGAAAAGUUGUCCAGGACACACCAGAACCCACCAUUUGACAAUUAAAAUCUCAAAA